rfam:Gossypium arboreum cultivar AKA8401 contig_2730_1, whole genome shotgun sequence.
UAUUAAAAAUUCAUCUAUUUGUACUGUUAAAAACUUUCAUGACUAACAAAAUAAUCGGAAAUAACACGUUGCAUGCCAUAUAUACCUCACGCUGACAUACAGGAAUAAGUUUUUAACAGUACAAAUGGAUGAAAUUUUUAACA